ACAGGAAGGAAAGGACUCGAACCCUCAACCACUGGUUUUGGAAACCAUCAUUCUACCAAUUGAACUACCCUCCU
rnacentral:tRNA from 1 species